CGUCUAGGCGGCAGCCUAAGUCCUAUGUGAAAGCUCCCGGCUCAACUGGGAGAGGGCAUGGGAAACUAGGCGGCUCGAGACUCGGAGGGGGGUGCGGAAUUCCCGGUGGAGUGGUGAAAUGCGUUGAGAUCGGGAGGAACACCAGUAGCGAAGGCGGCACCCUGGCCGAGGUCUGACGCUGAAGCGCGACAGCGUGGGGAGCGAACG
rnacentral:rRNA from 1 species